AUUAACAACAGCGGUGAAUCCCCAAAAGCACAAGGUGUAUUCAAGAGGUCACUCCAAAAUUACAAUAUGUUUGAUUACAAAAACAGUAACAUGAGUCAGUCGAUGCCCAAACAACGUAAAGGAUUCGACCACCAUGUCUGUAAACCAUAAACAAACCUAGCAUUGUUAGCUUUUAGCCAUCAUAAAGCUGUAUAUUUAACUUUAUCCAUCAAGUCUGUCAGUGUAGCGUGAACAUUAUUGAAUAAUUUGUUGUUUCUUUCGCUCCAUAAUAUCCACACACACAACAACCACAAAAGUUGCAUAAAAGAAUGUCUGGACCUCGAAGUGCCUGUAGCGUUAAUAAACUGAAUAAAAUGAGGAUGUAUAUUAUAGGGAUCAGCUCCAGAGAUACCAAGCCAAUUCCUAACAUAUUGCCAUAAAGCACCAAAAAUAUGACAGUGAAUAAACAAAUGUAGAACCGAUUCGUUGUUCCUGCACCCCGCCACACACAUUAAUUAUUAAUUAAUUAUAUAAAAGGAUAUAUUCCUUUGUUAAUUACUCUUACAUUUUUCAAUAAAAUUAAUUAAUGUUAUAUAUUUGAAAAAUUGAAAAUUGUUUUUUUUUUUUAAAUCAAAGUUUGCUUCUUUUUUUUUUUGACAAGGCAAAGUUUGCUUCUUGUUAUCUUAAAAUUGACAAUUAUUUAUUAUGAGAGACUGAGUGUGCAAAAAAAUACUCUCUCCGUUCCUUUUUAAUUGUCACUUUUGGAGAAAAUUUUUGUUCUUAUUUAACUGUCACAUUCAAAGUUUAAUGCAAUAGUAAAUGUUGUUUUACCAAUAUUACCCCUAGAUAUUUAUUGCGGAGAGAGAAAUAUAUGAAAUGAAAUAUUAAAUUAAUAAGGCCAUUAUAGUCAAUAUAAAAACAAUUGCAUCAAAAGUAGUAACAUUUAUUGAUUGUUUUGAUUUGUGUAAAAUGUUAAAAAGUGACAAUUAAAAAGGAACAGAGGUAAUAAAAUUUUGUUUGUUGGAGAAAAAGAUAAUAACUAACAAUUGUUUGUUACGAUAUAAAAAUAACAUAGUAAAGAGAAAGUGUGUGCAAAAAAUUAAAAAUAUAUUGGUGGAUUAAAAUAAGGGUAUAUUAGAAAAUAAAGGUGCAAAAAUAUACUUUACUAAUAUCGAUACUUAAAAAGGAAUGGAUGAAGUAUAAAGUAGGAGGUAAUAUUCAUCUAUAAAAAUUGAAAAGCAUUUCAACUUAUUAUUUUUGUCCUUAAAUAUGUCCAAGGCUUUGACCUUUAAUACCAAAGAAACUUUUGGAAUCACAGGCUGAUACUAUACGACAAAAAUAUGAGGUAAAUUGGAACUCAAGUAGAUCUCUAAUUAACUGAUAGAGCUUGAUAUUCUGCUGAUAUCAGACAAAUAUUUUCAUUCUUUAGUAUUUUCAAGCUUCAAAUAGAAUAUACAAAACAAGUAGUUGAAAUAACAUCAAUAGUGAAAGAGCUCCAAAAGAGGUUUCAUUUUUUAUCUUGUCAUUGGUGGCAUUAUAGGUGGUGCCACUGAAAUUCCUUGUCUUUGUCUUUCUGUGUUGGCUUCCCACCCUAUAUGCAGUUAAUUGUCAAAAACAAGUCAACAAAACAAUAGGACAUCAGACAAAUUCACUAAAAAUCUAACCUUUCAGUAUAUAAAAAAUUUAAGUUAAAAACCCAACUUGAAAAUUAGACAAAAAAGAAUUAGGUGCCUAUGCUCAAGUCAUAUCCACGGUUUUUGAGUUCUCUAUAUUCCUGACAAAGAGCACAAGUUUCACAACAAAAAUGAACUAAGCAAUCCAUACAAGGUGCCUCUGGCAAGUCAUAUUGUGCCCUCAGUUUGGACCGAUAAUAACAUGAAUAUAAACAUGCAAGUCCAGUCACAGCCAGUAGCGCCCCAUAAAUUGUUCCAUCACAUGUGCAAGCUGCAUAUACCAAAUUAAGUUAAGGGACCACAAGAUUAAUUUUUCCUAAAUUUUAUAUAAAAGCUUACUUACUUGAAUUGCCUUUGUCUACUAUCUCUGCUAUCAUUCCAAAAGUAACACAAGGGCAGAAGCAAGUGACCAAACCUUGUCAAUUAGAAGGAAAAAAAAGUAAUUAACCAUAAUAUAUAUGUGUUUUAAAGAAAGUGAAUGAAUCUACUACACGAUCCUUACAGAUUCCAGGAUCAUCAAGACAACGGCAAAGACGAGUUGACCAUUGGUGUGUCCUUGGGGUGAUCACCCCUUGAACUGGUGCUGAUAUAUUGAGGAUGAGGAGGAGCAUAAGGUUGUUGCACUGGCAUGCCAUAACUUGGCAUUUGUAUGACAUAGCUUUGAGGGGGGUAGUUAUGACUAUGAUCUGUUUCAUUUACGGAAGGAUACUGCAUAAUGUUAUUGGUGGAAUUAGUCCUUUAACCAACACACAAUUUUCUUUAUUAUCUUAGUGUCUAUGCAUAUAAAUGGGAGGAACUUAUAUAAGAGAGUAUUUCCACACUAAUGUAAUUUUGUAAACUACUAGGAAAAAACCAUUUUCUGUCUGAUUGGUUUAUAGAAUGGUCAGUAGUUGCAAGGAAAGGCAUACAUGAUACAUUUCAAAGUAAUAAGUGGUGGAAUAUCAACAUAAAUGAAUGGCAAAUUGCAUCUUUCAUUGCCAAGAAGUUUUUAUAUGGGAUUUGCUAGAACACAUCCACUAGUUUUUAUGUGGGAGUGUUUUAACAAGCUAUACCUUAAGGUGCAUUUAACUACUUUUUAGUUAUAACUUGCUAAAACACACUUUCUAAAAAUUAAGUGGGUGUAUUAUAGCAAAUGCCUGUAGGAGUUGCUAACAUACAUCCACUUAUUUUUUAGGUUAAUUGAAUUAAUAAUGAUCUAUGUGGUCCAUAUUAUGAACCAGAUACAUCAUUAAUUGAAAAAGUAAAAUUUGCUUAUAUUUAGAAACGGAGGGAGUAUUUAACAACUUUUUAGUUAUAUUUUUGCUAAAACACUCCCACAUAAAAAUUAGUGGGUGUAUCCUAGCAAACCCAUAUAUAUAUAUAUAUAUAUAUAUAUAUAUAUAUAUAUAACGAUACCGACACUCUUUAAGCAUUCUAAACUAAAUAAUUAUUUUCUAAAAAAAUCAAACAUUUCGAUCAAAUACAUUGAAUGUACACAUUUUCAAAAAUACUUACAACUUAUAAUUCUUAAAAAGUGUCUCAGAGACACUUAUCUGCAUUUCCCAUUUCGCAUGUAAUUAAUAUCAUUGCGUUUACCAUACAAUUUCUAACAGAAUCUGUUUAAGAUUACUGUAGGACCCACUUGCAUAUGGGUCUUUAGCACUUAUACUUUUUUUUUUGAAGGAAAGCACUUAUACUUCAAUAAUGCAUUUCUGAUUUCUCAAUUGUCAAUACUUCCAUUCAUAUGACAAUGAAGGUGUAUGAUAUGAACAUUGUUCUUUUUGGCUAGAUUGAACAUGUUACUGACUAUUUCAAACAUGUCACUACCGUGUUCUACUUCUAGCCAUGCUUGUGAAGAAAAACCAUCCAUGUUCUAGUUUGUGCGGACUGUGCUACGUAGUUUUCCUUAUUUUUGUUGCAAUAUUUUUAUUUAUGUUUUUUAUCCCUUGUAACUUCCUGUUUCGGUCUCUAAAUUUGAGAGUUUAUUGACAAUUUGUGAUGGUUUUGUUUAUGGUCCAGUGUCCCUCCUUUGGUGAGAUUUUCGUUUCUUCUUAGUCCUAGUGGUGGUUGUAUUGGAACUUUGGAAGUGUAUUUAAAGGGAACUUAGUUUGGUUUAGUGCUUCUGCUUAUUUUGAUUUAGUCCUUCCUGACUACAAUUUUUAAUUUAACAAGUGUAUUUUAAGCCAUAAAAUUUUCUUACUACAAGGAAUUGGUUCAUGUGAUCCUUUUAGAUGAUCAAUAUAUAUAAAGUAAUGACAUAUGUUUCAUUUAGUUAGAGAUAUGCUAAAUCACUUCUUUUUUAAUGGAGGGAUCUACUAACUACCAUUGGUUACGUUAGCCUUCUUCAAGGCCAAAAGAAGUUGUCUUGAACUUUAAAAUUUCUUGAUUUGUUUUGAGCUUCCUUGUAGUUGUCUUUUGGAGCUUCCUCGUUCAAUCUCCUUUAAUUUCCCACGAGCUUCCAGCAGUGAAAGUGAAUCACCAUUUGAUUUCACCACCACCCUCAUCGUCGUUUCGGCAUGGCCAUUGUUCCACCUUCUCUGUAAACGUCAUCGUCAUCAACAACGAAGUUGCUGCUUUUUUCACCGCCACCCUCGUCAUCGUUCCCGCAUGGCCAUCAUUGCACCUUCUCUCUUUGCCGGUAGUUUUAUUUUUUUUUAUUACCGUUUUUCUGUUUUUUUGGUAGACCAACGAUUCUUAUACAUAUCCUCUCUUUUGUUAUAACUAUUUACCGGUAAUGCAUAUUGAGACAGAUAAUGUUUGAAACGUACAAAAUAAUGAUUGAAACAUUCAAAAUCAAUAAAUAUUAUUAAUGAAAAUUUAUGGUUUUGUAAAAAAAAAAAAAAAAAUUAGGUUUGAGGUUUCCUCGGUAGUUAACUUCAGUUCCAUAAUUCGGCAGUUAACUGCCGAGUGACAUUUGGGUAAAUUACUCAUGUUUCUCAACCAAUGCAUAUGUGUCAACAACAAUUCUCUUUAUUUAUUUACUUUAUGUAUGUGAGGUGUCAAGUUUUGGCUGGUUAUGACCAAUUGCAAUUUCUUGGUCACUUAGCCUUAUAAGAAUUCUUGAACUCCUCUCCGGUUGGAUCUAGACAAAAAUGUUUGGAUGGACUGGCCAAAUAAACUAUAAUAUAUAUUAAGAAAAUUAUAUGUUCAUAAGCAUUACACACAAUGGUGACCAUCACAAAAUUAGAUUACAUAUUUUAAAAAUUCAAAAUAAUAUUCUAUGCAUUUCGAUUGACUUGAAAAUGUGAUGGUAAUGUAUAUUGAGACGGAGAAUAAGGUGAAUCAUAAAGUAAUUUUAUUUAAAAGUCAAGAAUAUUUUACUAAUUUUUCCUAUAAAAAAAUUAUUAUUUUUGGGCUGGUUGGGCCUUGGCCACCUAUGCUUGCUCGCCAUUUCAAUCGAAGAACAGGAAAGAAAACUUAAAAAAAAAAAACAUGCUCGCCAUUUUAUUUGAAGAACAGGCAGAAUGUUCAAAAAAAAUGUUAUGUUCGCCAACUAAAAUGAAGAACAGGGGCAUUUCUAUCAAUAAUUUUAAACUAGGGGCAGACAUAUCAAUUUUUUUGGUAAUAGGGGCAGAAAAAAAUUCAAAAUGGGACCAGGAUAUGCUGCCACACAGUUUCACAUAGUUUUGAUUUGUGACCAUUGUAAUUUUAUCAAACCAUCCAAUAGCUGAAAUAAAAACUGUGUUGUACUUUACAGCACCAAAUCCAUAUCCCACAAAAUGUACUAAUUAAUUGCAUAGAUACCAAAGAAAUAUCAUCUACGAAAAGCAACUUAACUUGUUGGAUUAUAGGCUGAUUUAAGACAAAAAUAUGAAGUACUGUAAAUUGGAACUGAAGUAGGUCUCUAAUUAAGUGACAAAGCUUAAUAUACUGGUGAUCAUAUCAGACAAACAUUUUCAAGCAUCAAACAGAAUAUAUACAAACCAAGAAGUUGAAACAAGAUCAACAAUUUCCGUGGCUUGUGAAAAGAGCUCCUAAAGAGGUUUCAUUUUUUUCUUUUUUUUAUCUUGUCAUAGGUGAAAUCAUUGGUGGUGCCACUGCAACUCCUGGCCUCUGUCUUUCCACGUUGGCAUCCCAACCUAUAUUUCAGACUCAAUUAGUUAUCAAAAACAAGUCAAGGGUCAAGCAAAAACACUAAACCAUAUGAUAUCACACAAAUUCACAAAAACUUUUAACCUUCAAUACCUAAAAAUAUAAGUUAGAAAUCCAACUCGAAAACUAGACAAAAAUUAAGAAAGCAGAGAUUCUUGAGUAACCUCACUGACCACUUUUAGCCGGGUCUCUGUUAAAUGUAGUUAGAGAUCUGUUAAAUCUUAGUUGAAGUUUGUUAAAGGUAGUUUCAAGCUGGUUAGGAUUAAGUGCAAGUUACUUAAGAUUUUUAUCCUAGUAAGGAUCGCUGUAUUAUAAUAGACUUUUCUAAUUGAAUCAAUUCUAAGCAUAAUUAAUCUUUCUCUCAAUUUAUUUUUCAAUUUGUUGGACUCUGGAGCAUAAGAGAGGGAGACGUCUCUCUUCAGCCCAAAAUCUUAAAACGUUACAUUUUAUUCAUUAAUAAAUGGUAUGAGAAAUAACCAUCCACACUUGAAUCCAAUGAUCUCUCCCUCAAGUGUUUUUAACGUCCUAUAAUAGGAUCCAAAACAGGAUCCAGCUCUUGCUCCCCUACCAAGUUGAACUAGGGAUCUGAUACCACUUGUUGGGGAGUCUGGGUAAGUCGGGAACAACAACAGGGCAAAAUGUUCCAAGGCCACAAGAGAGGGAGACACCAUAUCUCCACCCAAAACCUUAAUGUAUUAGGUAUACGGGUCACCUCUCUUAUAUAUAUCCAACAUUUUAUCCAUUGACAUGCGAUGUGAGACUUGACCAACUUACACUUGUACUCAACAUGAAGUCUCUCAUCCCAACCAUGUUUUCUCAUCUCAAACUCGAGACGUUGCUUAAGAGAUCCAAAUCUAAUUUAGUAUAUUGAAGUAUUUGAAGAAAGAAUUAGGUACCUAUGCUCAAGUCAUAUCCACGGUUUUUGAGCUCUCUAUAUUCCUGACAAAGAGCACAAGUUUCACAACAAAAAUGAACUAAGCAAUCCAUACAAGGUGCCUCUGGCAAGUCAUAUUGUGCCCUCAGUUUGGACCGAUAAUAACAUGAAUAUAAACAUGCAAGUCCAGUCACAGCCAGUAGCGCCCCAUAAAUUGUUCCAUCACAGGUGCAAGCUGCAUAUACCAAAACAUGAUAAAUAAUAAUGAUUAUAGAUAUAUAAGUACUGAUUUGUUUAAAUUUUAUGCAAAAUUAAACCUGUGGUCCUUAACUUUAAUGUUUUGGUCUUUUAGUUUUUUCUCACGUAAUUUUGGACCUUUUAGUACGUUUGCAUAUGAAUUUUCAAGUUUAAAAUCUCAUGUUCAUAUGCAAACAUGGAUAAAGAAUCAUAAAUUUGAAGACCGACAAGUCACAGGGAAAUAAAACUAUAGAUUUUAAGUUUGAAAAUUGAUAUGCAAAUCGGCCAAAAUGACAUGAAAAAAAGAUAAAAAAACUAAAAUACUACUUAAAAUUAAGUUAAGAGAACACAAUUAAUUUUGCCUAAAUUUUAUAGAAAAGCUUACUUACUUGAAUUGCCUUUAUCCACUAUCUCUGCUAUCAAUCCAAAAGUAACACAAGGGCAGAAGCAAGU
rnacentral:lncRNA from 1 species